rnacentral:lncRNA from 1 species
AAUUGUACAUCAGUGGCACUUCGGAGCAGUGGGUUUUCCCAUUGCUAUGGCCAUCAACCACGGACGGUUCUAAACACCAAACAGUUAUACUCUUUCAUAAGAAGUUGCAACGUUUCAUUGUGUUUGUUACCCACAUAUAUUAAUAUGAUCUUUGAUCUCAUUUCUGGUAACAAAAUGUGAAAGCCAAAUAGAAGCCAGCUGGACAGCACUGAAGGCUUGGAAAAGUGGCAAUAAAGUUACCUAAAAAGAAAUAGAUGUUUUUCUUAAAUAAAAUAGGGUGUAUCCCUAUGAAAUUAUGUGUACUGAAAACUUGGCUUUACCCAUGUGUUUAAUAUUAUAAAAUGCGGUGGUUUACUCUGAUAAAAUAUUUCCUAACUACGGUCCUGAUGAAAAUUUCCACUGCCAAAUUAGACAAUAACGUGAUACCACCGAAAUUGGCUCGCGGCCGCCCGUUCUCGGGGAAUUGGGAUCAGGGGUUGUGACACUUCUCUAUUUUCAAAAUGCUACAACGAAAACUUCAAAAGGCAAACCAUCAUACACAAACACAUCCUUACCAAACGAGGUGACAGUCCAAUCGAAUGGCCAUCCGAUCGGAUGACCAUCCGAACGGAUUGCCACCCGAUCGACUGGCUAUCCGAUCGGAUUACCGUCCGAUCUAUUGAUACUUUCUACCAUUUUACGCGCCGCUUAUCAUUUAUGCUAUCAUUCUGAUCAGGCUAAACUCACGCUAGCGCUCCCUUCAAUCUAUCAUCGCUGUUUUGUCGCAGUCUACAUCAAAUCAAGCUAGGAAGUCUAGAAACACACCUAAAAUCUAGGUUGCCGGAUUUGAAUUGUUUGAGAGAACAUGAAAUUCAUGACAGCUUAUGUGAUUGUAAUUGUUUAUUAGUAUGGGAUAAUGAAUGCAUUAAAUACU